rnacentral:rRNA from 1 species
UACAGAGGUCCCGAGCGUUGUUCGGAUUCAUUGGGCGUAAAGGGUGCGUAGGCGGUGGGGUAAGUCAGUGGUGAAAUCUCCGGGCUUAACCCGGAAACUGCCAUUGAUACUAUUUGUCUUGAAUACUGUGGAGGUCAGCGGAAUAUGUCAUGUAGCGGUGAAAUGCUUAGAUAUGACAUAGAACACCAAUUGCGAAGGCAGCUGGCUACACAAAUAUUGACACUGAGGCACGAAAGCGUGGGGAUCAAACAGG